UAAUAAGUGUUUUAUGGCACUUUUUAAAUCCAUAUCCACCUUGUGUGCAAUGUCAGUCGAUCUUCUUCAUGGAGAUCGACCAAACAUCAACCUUUAUCUUUUAACUCUUUGUCUGAAAAAUAUUAUGAAUAAACAAUUCAAAUA
rnacentral:misc_RNA from 1 species